GGAGAUUUGGCUCAGUGGUAGAGCACUUGCCUACCAUGCAUAAGACCCUAGGUUCAAUCCCCAAUACCACCC
rfam:Mesocricetus auratus contig078620, whole genome shotgun sequence.